rnacentral:rRNA from 1 species
AAUACGAAGGGGGCUAGCGUUGCUCGGAAUUACUGGGCGUAAAGGGAGCGUAGGCGGACAUUUAAGUCAGAGGUGAAAUCCCGGAGCUUAACUUCGGAACUGCCUUUGAUACUGGGUGUCUUGAGUGUGAGAGAGGUAUGUGGAACUCCGAGUGUAGAGGUGAAAUUCGUAGAUAUUCGGAAGAACACCAGUGGCGAAGGCGACAUACUGGCUCAUUACUGACGCUGAGGCUCGAAAGCGUGGGGAGCAAACAG